rnacentral:misc_RNA from 1 species
CCGCCAAACCCAUCGACAAGGCAGCUGCAGCAAAACACCAUGCAGAAUCCGUUGAAACGGCAACUUCCUUUCUCUUCUAUGAAGCCACCCUUCUCGGCUCCCGGUGACUACCACCGGUUCAGCUCUGAACCCCGCCGAGUUGCCGAUCAUGAAGUUGAGGCCAUCGUUGUUAUACCUCCUCCAACUAAGCGGAAGAGUGAUGCAGCAGAUCAUGAAGCUGAGUCCAGUGAGUGGAAUACCAGUGCUGGCGUCACAGAAGUAUUCAACAGUCCCCUCCAGACGCCUGUAUCUGGAAAAAGUGGAAAGGCA